ensembl:snoRNA U3 Small nucleolar RNA U3
AAGACUAUACUUUCAGGGAUCCUUUCUAUAGUUCGUUACUAGAGAAGUUUCUCUGAUCGUGUAGAGCACCCGAAACCACGAGGAGGAGAUGCAGCGUUCUCUCCUGAGCAUGAAGUCGGCUUUUGGUGUUGCUUUUGCAGCUGCCAUUAACCAUUGAUGAUCGUUCUUCUUUUCCUUUUUGGAGAAGAAGAGGGAGAGAACAUAGUCUGAGUGGG